rnacentral:tRNA from 1 species
GAGGGUAUAGCUCAGUGGAAAAACACUUGCUUAGCAUGUACAAGGUCCUGGGUUCAAUUCCCAGUGCCUCCA